rnacentral:misc_RNA from 1 species
GAACCCCUUCCAUCCAUCUGGGCACACUCUGCUAACACCAGCAGACGAGGCAAGGCUGCGUAACUGCGUGAAGAUCGCGCUACGAACCAGCACCGGCGAGACACCUCUUUCCCUCUCAGUGGCGCACUAUCGCCUAUUUCCUACUUUCCACCCUCUCUUCUUCUUUGGCACUCGCCCACCCGCACACGCGCAUUCCACAACUCGAGGCCACCCUAGAGCCAGCAAGCCACUUUCCCGUCGGGCCUCCCCCCUCUCUCUUGAUUGCAUUUGUGCGUGAGGCGCGCAUUCUCCCCCCGCUCUCUCCUCGCUCGUAUUGUUUGCUCUGGUGCGCCGCUGUCUUGGCGUCACGCCAUCCCCUCUUUCCUUCACCUUCCACCUCGUCUCGCUCAAUUUAUGACUCACCGUGCUACAUCCCCGGUGUCGACGUAGUUCCGUUUUGUUUUGUUCUUAGCUUGCUUUUCUUCUUUGCGUGCUGCAACCUUCCUCUUUCGCCCCCCCCCUCCCCACCAAUAGAAGGUAGCCGUUGUAUUGGAAGUAUCAUCGCGAGACCACUGAACAUCACCCCUCGUUCGCUCUUGAACGACACCUCCAAGUGUGUCGCGCACCGGCAGCGACAACGCUCACGGAGUUUCUUCUUCGUAUUUUCUCUUUGGCUCCCUCCCUAAUUGCUCGGAAGCAACACAGGUUUCUCUUGACACCGCGAAGAGGCGAUACGAAUAAAAUGAGCGCUGCUGCGGCCCCUGCAUUGAAGUUGCGGUCACGCUCCGUGAACACGACCCAAGGCAGCGUGCCCGGCGCAAAGCCGGUUCCGAGUCGUUCCUCUAAAGCGAGGACGAGGUCGACGCGCGUGACGCCGACGCCGUUCUCAGAGGUGCAGCCACGCGGGGCGGCGACAACACCCUCGUCGUCUGUGACCCGUCGCACCAUUCGCACAGGACAGCCGAUCACACAGGACCGGCCGCCCGUCACUGUGGUUGGCGAGAGCAAGCCGCAGGCUUGCAGCGGUGCUAAAGGGUUUCCGUCAUCGCUUCCCACCAGCACCUCUCACGUGGGCAAUGGAGUCAGGGCGCCGUUGUUGACAGCGGGCUUGUCCGAGAUGUCCGCAAACUAUGCCAAGUUUUCGAGUGGCGCCGCUAUCGCGACCCCUCAGAUGGGACUUCACAACAGCUCGGCUUCACGAGUGGACUCGACGUGCAGCAGCCUGAGGGGUAGCAGUGACAAGGGCUCUGCGGAUCGUCGACAGCGCCCUCCACAGGUGCCGCGUGUGAGCCAGCUCUCCAGCAACGCCCCUGUGACGCGGUUUGCGACGAUGGAGACGCCGCUGCCUCUUCGGCGCACGGCCACUGCCGCGAAUAUUAUCCCCACGGCAAGCGCGCCCGGCUCGCAAUUCUGCAGCCGCACCCCUUCCAUGCACGAGAUGGCCGCUCCCUUAUCUCCGCGCCGAGUUCCACCGUCGGCGCGGCCGUACGCUUCGGCGCCGGCCUCCCGCGUCAGUUCGGUCAACUCGCGACUCGCUGAGGGGGCAGCGCGCCUCGUGCGCCGACCGCCGCAGCGCCUGCACACCAGCUCGACGCGCCUCUUUGUGGUAAAGCGAAGCAGCAGCGCAGCUACAACCGCAGCAUCCACGACGACCCCCAGCCCCACCGCUCCCUCUUCCUACGCAGUUGUGGCGACGGCGGACGGCGCAGGGAAUACGCCUUCCACGGCUCUGGGAGCGCCGUCGCGCUCGAUGGGCACGCGGCCUUUGCUGGGUACAAGUUGCACUUCCACACCCAAGAGCGGAGGCGCCAAUGGCGCACCUCGUCUGCGUGCUCUUCACCCCAGUACGCAACCUGCGCUAUGCGUCGACAGGGGGCCUCGCAGCGCUCGAGGUGGGGCCAGCAACGGGAACAACAGCUUCUCGGCCAGCUGCACAGCGACGCGCGGGACGUCGCGGCAGGCGCCGGCGCGGCAGCAGCAGCAUCAGAAGCCCUUAUCGGCUCGCUGCGCAGCGGGAGGGUCGAUGUCGCGCAAAGCAACGCGGAAGCUUGGUGGCGACGGCGCACCUGUCGCUAUUUCACGCGCACCGCCUGCCCCGUUCCAGCAGACGCACACUGGAUGCCCUCCGUUGCUGUCAUUUGCGAGCUGCGUAAAGGGCUCGGCUGCGUCUGCGGUGCCGAAGGGCCCUGUCUCCCCGAUCAAGCGGACUUCCACGGCGUGCCCCAGCGCGGCUCAACGCUAUCCGGUUCCAUCGGCGGACAAUCCAGCGCGCGUCAGCGAGGGGCGUGCUUCGUCGAUCAACGACGCUGCCUUCGCGAGCCCCUGGAUCAGGCCUGGCAUGCUCUCGAGCCCCACCAACGGCGGCGGCGGCCGUGACGCCAGCGAAGCCCCCACCAUUCCUUACGAAGGCUCUACAGGUCAGCGCGGCUCCAUGUCGCUGUCGCCGCGCACGGAUUUCGACACCCUCUCCGUCUCUGGACGCCUGAGCUACGGUAUUUAGGACAUGAAAGCACAUGCCCAAGUGGAUGGGAAGGAAAUUGGGAGGUAGACGAGGCGAUGCUUGCCGACGCCUUCGCAGAUGAAGCGCGGUCGCCAUAUUACUUCAUCUCUGGCGCAAGUUCGCGUGGCCGAUUGCUUCCCUGAUGCCGCUCCCCGCCAUCCUCAUCUCUAAAACCCGCGCGUCGAUCCUUUACCGCCACGUGUGUACGCGUGUGCGUCACUUGUUGCUUCGUGGGGUGCGAUGCUCUUUGUGUUUUGUCUCUCGGGUUCACACAGACGCACACGCAGACGCGGACGUUUCGUUUGCGCCUUACGCAGAGUUGUGGGUGCACGCGACGCUGUGAGAAGCGCACACUUUGUGAAUUUUUUUUUAUGAAAUUUUAUUUUGUGCGUGUGCUUGGCUGAUUUGGCCUCCCCCACCGCACCUGCUCGUUUCUGUUUUCUGUCGUGUUGUGUGUAUAUUGUCGUCGCGUUUCUUUGUACCGCUUCUGCCGGGAAGGAGAAAACGAAAAGAAAACGCCCGAGACACGCCCUUGACCCCUCCAGAACCACUAGAAUCACAGUGAGCAGGUGAGAGUGCAAGUGGAUUGGGCGCUGCACGACAGAGAGUGCUGCCUCUAGAUGAGGCCCACGGGGUGGGUGCUACGUGGCUGCUUGUGUAAGUCUGUGCAGACAGGCUGCCUCCCGUCCCCGCUUGCACACCCUCCGCCUUCGCGUGUGAGCCUGUGCGCCAGCGUGGUGGAGGGAACACGCCUGCGAGGCACUCCCCCCCCCCAGUCCGCAAAGCGACGACGUGGUGACGAGGAGGACAUGCUGGUGCUCCUUCCUUUACGUCCUGUAUUUCCGCACGGAUUAGAUCUUUAGCGUGUGCCUUCCAACCACGCUUCCUUUCACUCUUCGUUUUUUUUUUUAUUAUGCUUCUUUGCCUUGCUCUUGUGCUGCCCUGCUCGUGUGCGUUGGUGUAUGUGUGACGGUGUGAUGCUGCGUCUGAGUAGGGCGCACUUGACAAGAAUUUUUUUUUUUGCGAUACUUAAGGUGAUGUCGAGAAAAGAGCGCGAACGGCAUCCAAAAGAGCAGCGAAACAGAGAAGCCUGCUGCUGCGGCUGCAGCAGGGCUCUUCUCCUCCUCCGUUGCAACUUGCGUUCUGUCCUUUCUCGAUUUCCUUCUGUUAUUCGUAUUCACUCUCUAGAUGAUAAUUCAAGGGCUCGAUUCCCUUUGGUGUCGAUGCUUUUUUUUUUCUCCUUCUCUUGCGGGUUUGUUGUGGUUCAUGUGCGCCUCUUUUCCCUUUUUCCUUUUGUGGCUGGCCUCAGCUCUCGAAGUCUCGCUUCCUUCUUUUUCCUUGUGCACGAGCCCCAGUCACGUCUCUCCUCUACCUUCGCUUCACUCGGCUCUCGUGUGGGAUGUUAUGUACGCCCGCUAAUGGCAAAAGAAC